rnacentral:rRNA from 1 species
ACGAACGCUGGCGGCAUGCCUAACACAUGCAAGUCGAACGAGACCUUCGGGUCUAGUGGCGCACGGGUGCGUAACGCGUGGGAACCUGCCCUUAGGUUCGGAAUAACUCCCCGAAAGGGGUGCUAAUACCGGAUAAUGUCUUCGGACCAAAGAUUUAUCGCCUUUGGAUGGGCCCGCGUUGGAUUAGCUAGUUGGUAGGGUAAAAGCCUACCAAGGCGACGAUCCAUAGCUGGUCUGAGAGGAUGAUCAGCCACACUGGGACUGAGACACGGCCCAGACUCCUACGGGAGGCAGCAGUGGGGAAUAUUGGACAAUGGGCGGAAGCCUGAUCCAGCAAUGCCGCGUGAGUGAUGAAGGCCUUAGGGUUGUAAAGCUCUUUUACCCGGGAUGAUAAUGACAGUACCGGGAGAAUAAGCUCCGGCUAACUCCGUG